GCAGACUGCUCUGGCUGAGGUCCGGGGGGAGCCCCGGAGGAUCCGCAAAGCCAUCAGCUGGGGCGUAGCUGGCUCUAGGUGCCUGGAGGACCCCACCCCGCCGGACGCAGAUCAGAGGACUGGCCCGUUUGACCUGUGGCCUUGUGAGCAGCAACAAAGAGUCAUUAAACCGCUGAGUUCGAGGUCUGUACACCGUGGUUGAGGCAACGGUCUCAUCUCAGGGCCAGUCCUUGACUUGAUGUUGAGUGUUCAGGAAGUGAUUUGUGUAUGUCCCUGGAGAAGUCAGAGGUGGAAAUGCUGCAGAGAACCGCAGAGUGGAGAAGCUCUGCGACCCAUUGAGCCACUGUCCCAGCCUGCUGUGGUGACGGGGGACCGACCCUGCAGUGGUCAUCCUUGGCCCCUCUCUUCAAUGGCCAUUCUCUCCGGUGGCUGUCUGUGG